AAAUACUGGGCGUAAGGCGCGCGUAGGCGGCUUGUUUAGUCGAAUGUGAAAUCCCCGGGCUCAACNUGGGNAAUUGCAUCCGAUACUGACGAGCUGGAGUGCGAUAGAGGGGGGUAGAAUUCCUAGUGUAGCGGUGAAAUGCGUAGAUAUUAGGAGGAAUACCGGUGGCGAAGGCGGCCCCCUGGAUCGACACUGACGCUGAGGUGCGAAAGCGUGGGUAGCAAACAUGAUUAGAUACCCUGGUAGUCCACGCCGUAAACGAUGUCUACUAGCCGUUGGAGAUCUAGAAUCUUUAGUGGCGAAGCUAACGCGAUAAGUAGACCGCCUGGGGAGUACGGCCGCAAGGUUAAAACUCAAAUGAAUUGACGGGGGCCCGCACAAGCGGUGGAGCAUGUGGUUUAAUUCGACGCAACGCGAAGAACCUUACCUGGCCUUGACAUCCUGCGAACUUUCUAGAGAUAGAUUGGUGCCUUCGGGAGCGCAGAGACAGGUGCUGCUUGGCUGUCGUCAGCUCGUGUCGUGAGAUGUUGGGUUAAGUCCCGCAACGAGC
rnacentral:rRNA from 1 species